GAUGAACGCUGGCGGCGUGCCUAAUACAUGCAAGUCGAGCGAACAGAUGAGAAGCUUGCUUCUCUGAUGUUAGCGGCGGACGGGUGAGUAACACGUGGGUAACCUACCUAUAAGACUGGGAUAACUCCGGGAAACCGGGGCUAAUACCGGAUAAUAUUUUGAACCGCAUGGUUCAAUAGUGAAAGACGGUUUCGGCUGUCACUUAUAGAUGGACCCGCGCCGUAUUAGCUAGUUGGUAAGGUAAUGGCUUACCAAGGCGACGAUACGUAGCCGACCUGAGAGGGGGAUCGGCCACACUAGAACUGAGACACGGUCCAGACUCCUACAGGAGGCAGCAGUAGGGAAUCUUCCGCAAUGGGCGAAAGCCUGACGGAGCAACGCCGCGUGAGUGAUGAAGGUCUUCGGAUCGUAAAACUCUGUUGUUAGGGAAGAACAAAUUUGUUAGUAACUGAACAAGUCUUGACGGUACCUAACCAGAAAGCCACGGCUAACUACGUGCCAGCCGCCGCUGUAA
rnacentral:rRNA from 1 species